GAAAUCCCUGAGUCUCUUGGGACAAUUAAGAGCUUCCAAGGCCUGCAGCGGGAAGCUGAGAGGCGCCCCUGGCUGUGAGGGCUGCCCAGUUCCAGUCCGGGUCCCACCCUUGUUUGGCACCCUGCCUUGCCUGUUUUGAAAGCUGGAAGCAUCUGGGUGUGGCUGGCCCCAGACACCAUGGGAGACAGGACUGUGCUCCAGGACGCCAAAGCUUGACAUAGCUGAAGCGCUCUGCAGUGACACAUGGGUGACUGCAAACUGGGCAGGUCAUUCCUCUCUAGUCCUCAGAUCCAA
rnacentral:lncRNA from 1 species